rnacentral:rRNA from 1 species
CUAGGACAACCGUAAUGAUUAAUAGGGAUAGUUGGGGGCAUUAGUAUUCAAUUGUCAGAGGUGAAAUUCUUGGAUUUAUUGAAGACUAACUACUGCGAAAGCAUUUGCCAAGGAUGUUUUCAUUAAUCAAGAACGAAAGUUAGGGGAUCGAAGACGAUCAGAUACCGUCGUAGUCUUAACCAUAAACUAUGCCGACUAGGGAUCGGGCGAUGUUGUUUCAAUGACUCGCUCGGCACCUUAUGGGAAACCAAAGUGUUUGGGUUCCGGGGGGAGUAUGGUCGCAAGGCUGAAACUUAAAGGAAUUGACGGAAGGGCACCACCAGGGGUGGAGCCUGCGGCUUAWUUUGACUCAACACGGGAAAACUCACCAGGUCCAGACAUAGUGAGGAUUGACAGAUUGAGAGCUCUUUCUUGAUUCUAUGGGUGGUGGUGCAUGGCCGUUCUUAGUUGGUGGAGUGAUUUGUCUGGUUAAUUCCGAUAACGAACGAGACCUUAACCUGCUAAAUAGCUAGGCUGCUCCUAGAGUGGUCGUCAGCUUCUUAGAGGGACUGUUGCGCGAYUAGCCAACGGAAGUUUGA